rnacentral:tRNA from 1 species
CGCAGUCGUCGGUGAGGACGCCGUCGGCGCUCGCAUCGCCGAACCGGGCAUGGUUCUUACCAUCCGCUACGAC